rnacentral:rRNA from 1 species
CACGUAGGGGGCGAGCGUUGUCCGGAUUUAUUGGGCGUAAAGAGCUCGUAGGCGGCUCACUAAGUCGGGUGUGAAACCUCCAGGCUCAACCUGGAGACGCCACCCGAUACUGGUGUGGCUAGAGUCCGGUAGGGGAGCAUGGAAUUCCUGGUGUAGCGGUGAAAUGCGCAGAUAUCAGGAGGAACACCAGUGGCGAAGGCGGUGCUCUGGGCCGGAACUGACGCUGAGGAGCGAAAGCAUGGGGAGCAAACAGG